UCAAACCAUGCUCUUUAGCCGCUGAUUUCUGAGAGCACAUUCUGACUGCUUUUGAGACACUUACUGGCAAAUCCUCCUCCCCCACCUCACUGGAAGCCAUCAAUGCACGGUCUUGCAGUCUUUGGCUCUAUAAUUACUGCCAACACAACAUGGAUACCAGAUUGAAUGCUCCUGUAAGAAUGCUAACCUCUGAUCAAGAUGUCUUUCUCUGGACCCAGGACAUUGUGACAGUGGGUGAGGUUUGUUUUGUGUCAGACGUUGUUUGUCCGGCUCUUUCUCCACAGGUUGGUGAGGUGUCCUGAUUGCAGCAGUAUCAUCAGUUACAUUUAUUUUAGUCUUCCUCAAAUUGUUGCCAUACACAAAAUUAGUCUCUUUUGCUCAGCAAACAACUUCUUUGACUUUUGUUUCUGCUGUGAUAUGCUCCGUCAGCUGUGACGUCUUACAGAACUUUAUUUGGUCCUAAAUUAGGUUUAAUCCACUAAUCAAGUUGCUGAAACAUAUGAAUAAUUAGUGGGAAUCAGAUUACCUCACAUUUAAUUCAGUGUCAAAGAUGUGGGAGUGAAUAUUCAGCCAUUAUGGUUUCAUUUCAGUCACAAAACAGUUAAAACAUUUUCCUUUGUUAUUGUGCUUUUUGUGUAGGAAAAUAGAAAAUUAUAAUCCAGUCAGUUUUAGAAUAAACCUGUUAGCACCAAAAUGUGGAAAAUGGAAAGGGUUGUCUAUAUUUUCUCUGCUGCUGCUCUUUAUGCAGAAAAUUAAUCCACACACAACUUAAAUCUAUUUAUUAACUGGUGGUCCAUGAAAAGCAAAAUGCAAACAGUUUUCUGUAAUGAGAGGAAAGGUGGAAUGUGAGCCAAGUAGCUUUGGUAUCAAAAAUAGAUUUUAUUGGUUUGACAAAAGAUUUUUAUGUAGAAAAUAAAUGACAAUAGUUAAAAUAAGGCACCCUGGAAACAUGAAGUUCUUUUUUCCUUGGUCUUCUUUUAGGGGCACGCUUUGAAGGUUGUGCUGUAAACAAAGAAAGACAAUCUUUCUAUUUCAAUCAGGUCUAACUGUGGCAGGAUCCAAAGAGCCUGAAAGCUUCCCAUACCUCCACCCUCAGCAGACUUCAGCUCCUUGGCCUCCUGGAUUUGAGCAACAAGACUUUGGAGCCUUUGUGACGCAGCCGUUCUCCGCUCCUCCAAAACACUCCUUUGUUCUCUUGAAGAUGAGUUCAGACUUUCAGGAUGAAAGCUGAAGACGUCUCCCUCUGCUGCUGUUCCUGCAUCCCUCUUUAAGGCUCCAAGCCCACUUCCCUGCUGGUGGUUCUGCCCGUACGCUCUGUGUUCCCUCAUCAUGUUCAGGUUCCUCUAGUUGGGCCAACUAACCUCCUUCAUUCUGCUGAAGACUAACAAAACUCAGUUUUUACCUGUUUUAUUUUCUAUGAUGAAAUGUGACUCUGCAUGCCGUGCUGGCGUUUAAAUGUUUAACUCUGAGGUUCUGGACUAGUCCAAAAAUAAAACCUAUUUCUAUUUAUGUAAACAUGAAGUAAUAUACUGAGGAAAAAUAAAGUCUUCUUCUGUAA